rnacentral:rRNA from 1 species
GAUGAACGCUGGCGGCGUGCCUAAUACAUGCAAGUCGAGCGAACAGAUGAGGAGCUUGCUCCUCUGACGUUAGCGGCGGACGGGUGAGUAACACGUGGAUAACCUACCUAUAAGACUGGGAUAACUUCGGGAAACCGGAGCUAAUACCGGAUAAUAUAUUGAACCGCAUGGUUCAAUAGUGAAAGACGGUUUUGCUGUCACUUAUAGAUGGAUCCGCGCCGCAUUAGCUAGUUGGUAAGGUAACGGCUUACCAAGGCAACGAUGCGUAGCCGACCUGAGAGGGUGAUCGGCCACACUGGACCUGAGACACGGUCCAGACUCCUACGGGAGGCAGCAGUAGGGAAUCUUCCGCAAUGGGCGAAAGCCUGACGGAGCAACGCCGCGUGAGUGAUGAAGGUCUUCGGAUCGUAAAACUCUGUUAUUAGGGAAGAACAAAUGUGUAAGUAACUAUGCACGUCUUGACGGUACCUAAUCAGAAAGCCACGGCGAACUACGU